CGUAAAUGAUACGAUCAAUGUACGUCAUAAGUUCGGAGAGUCGAAUAUAAAUUGUUCAUGCAGAUUGCAGAGCACAGGAACUUGCACACAAAAUAUUUAAGUUGACAGGCAGAUUGCGUCUCUCUGGUUGCUCUAAAAAUCAUUAGUAGACUGUUGUUUGAACACUCUGAGGCUUUCAAGCAAGACACAAGCACUGAUGGAUGACACAGGUAUGUUUAGAAACGAUAUAUGUCGUAUUUUUGAAGCGACCAGAUUAAAAAAUCGAGUCAUGUGUUCCAGCAAAAUAUCAUAUAUUUGGCAGACAGUCACAAAUUUAAAAAAUAGUGCUUGAGAC